rnacentral:rRNA from 1 species
AUGUCGGCGGCGCUUCGAUCCGCGGCGAGGAGGCUCGGCCGUGGCUCCCUGCUCCAGCGAACGCAGUCGGAGGGGCUCUUCUCGCCUAGCAGAAGCAGGCUCGUCCACACCAGUGAGCAUGCUCCUACAGACCUUACGCGUGAGAUCCAGGAGAAGAGAGAUGAGGUACGAAACUUGGUAUCUAAGGCGGUGCAGAAGAAAAGGGAGUUGUAUGCGUUGGGUAAGGCAGACAAGAAUUGUGAGACUCUUGGUGAGCAUCACAUGCUUCCACUAGCACUCCCAUAUCUUUCUCGGCAAAAAGUCGUUCCAAAACCACAUGGCACUCUCAGGACCUUGAUGCGGUUCGCUACAAGGGCUAACGCUUUGCUGGAUGCAGCUGCCCACGCGACAAUCUUCAUUUUGGUUACUACUGCUUGGGUUAGAGCUAGGGGCGGCAUUGGGGUAAAAGCCCAAACUGUUGAUGAGGAAAAUCAGGGAAGACAAGAUUGA